rnacentral:rRNA from 1 species
CACGUAGGGCGCGAGCGUUGUCCGGAAUUAUUGGGCGUAAAGAGCUCGUAGGCGGCUUUGUCGCGUCUGCCGUGAAAAGUCCCGGGGGCUCAACUCCGGAUCUGCGGUGGGUACGGGGCAGACUAGAGUGAUGUAGGGGGAGACUGGAAUUCCUGGUGUAGCGGUGAAAUGCGCAGAUAUCAGGAGGAACACCGAUGGCGAAGGCAGGUCUCUGGGCCGAUACUGACGCUGAGGAGCGAAAGCAUGGGUAGCGAACAGG